UACGGAGGGGGCUAGCGUUGUUCGGAAUUACUGGGCGUAAAGGGCGCGUAGGCGGUGUGUCAAGUCAGGCGUGAAAGCCCCGGGCUCAACCUGGGAACCGCGCUUGAGACUGGCACGCUCGAGUUCGGGAGAGGAUGGUGGAAUUCCCAGUGUAGAGGUGAAAUUCGUAGAUAUUGGGAAGAACACCGAUGGCGAAGGCAGCCAUCUGGACCGACACUGACGCUGAGGCGCGAAAGCGUGGGGAGCAAACAGG
rnacentral:rRNA from 1 species